rnacentral:tRNA from 1 species
GACCCCUUAGCUCAGUGGUAGAGCGUGUGAUUCCAGUCCACAAGGCCAAGCGUUCAACUCGCUUAGGGGUCA